CCUAUUUUCAAGUAUCAUUACUUAACGGAGGCUCAAGGAGGAAGCCCCCUGGCAACGCUCCGGUGGAGCGGACACCGCCGUUGCAGUCGACUAACCCUUUUCCCUCGUCUCUGCCGGUACUAUUCCCGAGAAACUGGGGCAGGAGUGCUGGAAGUGUGGGCUGCUGUGACACCUGAGGCGGGAGUGCCCGCUGAUGGAGUGACGCCGGGGAGUGGAAGAGAGAGGAGUGGAACCUGAGGUCCGCUGGAACGCUGGCCUAACUGAGAAUGGAUGCCGAACCAAAGAGCAUUGUGUGCAGUAGAGCAAAAGUGAACAAUCACCCGAGCAUUGUGUGGGGUCUGGAUCAUUCACAAUCAGUGUUGUUCAACACGCCCAUUUGCAACACAGCUUUGAAGAUCUGCUGGCAUCUUCCAGGCUACAGGGCUUAUUUCCUUAGACUAUAGCAGGAAAACAAAAUCCUAUCACACAUCGCUGCUGAAUAUCUGGGGGAUUUUUUGAUGGAGAAGAGCAAACAGACAUUCAGAGAGCAGCUUUGGGACUUGGAGGAUUUUGAGGAAAAAGAAGCCAAACCACUUCUGAAAAAAGUUUUUAAAAAACCAUGUUCUGUGUUUUCGGCCAAAAUUGACUGGCAUUUGGAACUGUUCAUUAUUCAUUUCACCUUGACUAAAGACCUAGUUCCAGCUGAAGACAAGCAACCCCAAACCAUGAUAUUGCCUCCACCAUGCUUCACCAAGGGUAUGGUGCUCUUUUGGUGAUCUAAACUGAUUAUGCAACUUAUUAUGAACUUGUGCAGUUUAUGCAGGUUUAUUCUACAAUGGCAGAUGGCUGCGUCUCCCUCAGCCUGGUUCUCCCGGAGGUUAUAUCCUGCACUUAAACUUUUGAUAUAAAGCACCCUCGGGCGGCUCCUGUUGUGAUUUGGUUCCACAUAAAUAGAAUUGAAUUGAAAAAUCAAAUUAAAUUGGUCACAUUAAA